CAUUCACGGGACCAUGCUGCUGCCAAUGCUCAGAGAUUGUGGCAGGGUGCCAGCCUGCCCCAGAAAAAGUUCACACACGAUCGUGUAGCAGCAGCAUUUCAGGGAUUAUGGCAAAUCACAAAGUGUAUCUGGCACCGGGCUUCACCCCCAGCAACUUUGUUCCAGCACCAGCGAAUGUGGUUGUUCUCCCGGGUCCACUGGGCCCUUCCCUUUGGGGGACCCACACAGCCUCUACCAGGUGUCCUCCCAGCAGGGGAACUGCCGCUCCCUGUGUGGCUCGAAGACCCUCCAGACUUCAUUCUGCUCCUGGGGAUUCGCCCUUCUCACCAGAGCACUGCCAGAAUUUUUGGCCAGUUGAGUGAAAUUUCAAAGAUUUAAGCCAGCUUAACACUUACAGUCUCCGAUAACAUUUCAAGGAAAAAAGAGAAGACUGUGUGGAGUAAAUAAAAUAGAAACCAUACU